rnacentral:lncRNA from 1 species
CUAUUAUUGAAAAGGAGUUAUCCUCCUCAAAAUCCUUCCCCCCUUGGUCGAGUUGGCUUAAGCCCGAAUCCAUCCUUACGGAAGAAGGGCGGGAUAUCGGCUACGAGAGAGAGUCCUUGUUGUUCACCUCCGCCUCCCGACGCUGCUGACCCCUACCGGGACCUUUUUCCUUUAUUCGCUACAAGACUGGUCCAAAAUUCUAGUUCGUUGCACUCACCCUUCGUUUCUGUUAAUCAUUCAUGACCCC